rnacentral:rRNA from 1 species
AACGAACGCUGGCGGCAUGCCUAACACAUGCAAGUCGAACGAGACCUUCGGGUCUAGUGGCGCACGGGUGCGUAACGCGUGGGAACCUGCACUUAGGUUCGGAAUAACUCCCCGAAAGGGGUGCUAAUACCGGAUAAUGUCUUCGGACCAAAGAUUUAUCGCGUUUGGAUGGGCCCGCGUUGGAUUAGCUGGUUGGUAGGGUAAAAGCCUACCAAGGCGACGAUCCAUAGCUGGUCUGAGAGGAUGAUCAGCAACACUGGGACUGAGACACGGCCCAGACUCCUACGGGAGGCAGCAGUGGGGAAUAUUGGACAAUGGGCGAAAGCCUGAUCCAGCCAUGCCGCGGGAGUGAUGAAGGCCUUAGGGUUGUAAAGCUCUUUUACCCGGGAUGAUAAUGACAGUACCGGGAGAAUAAGCUCCGGCUAACUCCGUG